rnacentral:rRNA from 1 species
CCUACGGGUGGCAGCAGUGAGGAAUAUUGGUCAAUGGGCGCAAGCCUGAACCAGCCAUGUCGCGUGCGGGAUGAAGGCUCUAUGGAUCGUAAACCUCUUUUAUACGGGAGUAAAGUGCGGGACGUGUCCCGUUUUGUAUGUACCUUAUGAAUAAGGAUCGGCUAACUCCGUGCCAGCAGCCGCGGUAAUACGGAGGAUACGAGCGUUAUCCGGAUUUAUUUGGUUUAAAGGGUGCGUAGGCGGCCUUUUAAGUCAGCGGUGAAAGGCUGUGGCUCAACCAUAGAAUAGCCGUGGAAACUGGGAGGCUUGAGAAUGUGAGAGGCAGGCGGAAUGCGUGGUGUAGCGGUGAAAUGCUUAGAUAUCACGCAGAACCCCGAUUGCGAAGGCAGCCUGCCAGGCCAUGACUGACGCUGAUGCACGAAAGCGUGGGUAUCAAACAGGAUUAGAUACCCUUGUAGUC